rnacentral:rRNA from 1 species
UACGUAGGGUGCGAGCGUUAAUCGGAAUUACUGGGCGUAAAGUGUGCGCAGGCGGCCGAGCAAGUCGAGUGUGAAAGCCCCGAGCUUAACUUGGGAACUGCGCUCGAAACUACUUGGCUAGAGUGUGGCAGAGGGAGGUGGAAUUCCACGUGUAGCGGUGAAAUGCGUAGAGAUGUGGAGGAACACCGAUGGCGAAGGCGGCUCUCUGGACCGAGACUGACGCUGAGGCGCGAAAGCGUGGGGAGCAAACAGG